rnacentral:sRNA from 1 species
CUUUAAAAUCUGGAUCAAGCUGAAAAUUGAAACACUGAACAACGAAAGUUGUUCGUGAGUCUCAAAUUUUCGCAACACGAUGAUGAAUCGCAAGAAACAUCUUCGG